rnacentral:rRNA from 1 species
AUUGAACGCUGGCGGCAGGCCUAACACAUGCAAGUCGAACGAGUGGCGGACGGGUGAGUAAUGUCUGGGAAACUGCCUGAUGGAGGGGGAUAACUACUGGAAACGGAAGCAAAUACCGCAUACCAUCGGAUGAGCCCAGAUGGGAUUAGCGAGUAGGUGGGGGAACGGCUCACCUAGUCGACGAUCCAUAGUUGGUCUGAGAGGAUGACCAGCCACACUGGAACGGAGACACGGUCCAGACUCCUACGGGAGGCAGCAGUGGGGAAUAUUGCACAAUGGGCGCAAGCCUGAUGCAGCCAUGCCGCGUGUAUGAAGAAGGCCUUCGGGUUGUAAAGUACUUUCAGCGGGGAGGCGUUACCCGCAGAAGAAGCACCGGCUAACUCCGUGCCAGCAGCCGCGGUAAUUC